UGUAGCAAAGCGUUAAGCACUGGUGCUAUGAUAUGGCUGAGUGUAGACUGCGAUAUUCUCACUGCUGAUGCUAUGACUGUUUAAAAUGAUCCUGAUGCCAAUAUUUGCAAUGUAGCAAGGAGUUUAACACCUGCUGGAAUGGAAUGUGAACACUGAGUUGGAGAUU